rnacentral:tmRNA from 1 species
GGGGGCGAACUGGAUUCGACGUGGGUCGCGAAACUCCGGGUGCAUGCCGAGGAACAGAUAACCUCGUAAAUCCAGCUGUAAAAAUAUAGUUGCCAACGACGAC